CCUACGGGAGGCAGCAGUGGGGAAUAUUGGACAAUGGGCGCAAGCCUGAUCCAGCAAUGCCGCGUGUGUGAAGAAGGCCUGCGGGUUGUAAAGCACUUUCGGUUGGGAAGAAGCUUUGUUGGUUAACACCCAACAUGGUUGACACUACCUUCAGAAGAAGCACCGGCUAACUCCGUGCCAGCAGCCGCGGUAAUACGGAGGGUGCGAGCGUUAAUCGGAAUUACUGGGCGUAAAGCGCGCGUAGGCGGUUGUGUAAGUCGGAUGUGAAAGCCCUGGGCUUAACCUAGGAACUGCAUUCGAUACUGCAUAGCUAGAGUAUGGUAGAGGAAAGCGGAAUUCCCGGUGUAGCGGUGAAAUGCGUAGAUAUCGGGAGGAACAUCAGUGGCGAAGGCGGCUUUCUGGACCAAUACUGACGCUGAGGUGCGAAAGCGUGGGUAGCAAACAGGAUUAGAUACCCUGGUAGUCCACGCCCUAAACGAUGUCAACUAGCCGUUAGGUUCAUUUAAGAGCUUAGUGGCGCAGCUAACGCGAUAAGUUGACCGCCUGGGGAGUACGGCCGCAAGGUUAAAACUCAAAUGAAUUGACGG
rnacentral:rRNA from 1 species